rnacentral:rRNA from 1 species
AUAGAGCUGGCGGCGGCCUAAAAAUGCUCCCGGUGAGGAGAAAAGGGUAUUGCUCUUCCCCUCAGCGGAGGAAAGGUGAGUAAUGCCUAGGAAUCUGCCUAGUAGUGGGGGAUUUCCCCCCGAAAGGAACGCUAAUACCGCAUACGUCCUACGGGAGAAAGUGGGGGAUCUUCGGACCUCACGCUAUUAGAUGAGCCUAGGUCGGAUUAGCUAGUUGGUAGGGUAACGGCCUACCAAGGCGACGAUCCGUAACUGGUCUGAGAGGAUGAUCAGUCACACUGGAACUGAGACACGGUCCAGACUCCUACGGGAGGGAGCAGUGGGGAAUAUUGGACAAUGGGCGAAAGCCUGAUCCAGCCAUGCCGCGUGUGUGAAGAAGGCCCUCGGGUCGUAAAGCACUUUAAGUUGGGAGGAAGGGCUUAAAGCGAAUACUUGUGAGUUUUGAUGUUAAAGACAGAAUAAGCAAGGCUAAUUUUGUGAAAGCAGCCGGGGUAAUAGGAAGGGUGGGAGCGUUAAUUGGAAUUAAUGGGAGUAAAGUGCGCGUAGGUGGGUUGAUAAGUUGGAUGUGAAAAUUUGAGGGUUAAACUUGGGAAAUGUAUUCAAAAUGUUUGGGUAAAUUGGGGUAAAGGGUAAUGGAAAUUUUAAGUGUAUCGGUGAAAUGGGUUAAAUUUUGUAAAGGGAAAUGAAUGGGGAAGG